rnacentral:rRNA from 1 species
UACGGAGGGUGCGAGCGUUGUCCGGAAUCACUGGGCGUAAAGGGCGCGUAGGCGGCCUGAUCAGUCGGGGGGGAAAUCCUGCGGCUUAACCGCAGGGCUGCCUUCUAAACUGUCGGGCUAGAGCACGGUAGAGGCAGAUGGAAUUCCCGGUGUAGCGGUGGAAUGCGUAGAGAUGGGGGAGAACACUCGUGGCGAAGGCGGCCAGCUAGACCAGUUCUGACACUGAGGCGCGACAGCGUGGGGAGCAAACAGG